GGACCCGUAGUCGAAUGGUUAAGACGCCUGCUUGACAUGCAGGAGAUUCGGAGUUCGAUUCUCCGCGGGUCCA
rnacentral:tRNA from 1 species